UACAGAGGGUGCAAACGUUGCUCGGAAUCAUUGGGCGUAAAGCGCACGUAGGCGGCCUAGCAAGUCGGGCGUGAAAGCCCUCGGCUUAACCGAGGAAGUGCGUUCUAAACUACUAGGCUUGAAUACUGGAGAGGGUCGCGGAAUUCCCGGUGUAGAGGUGAAAUUCGUAGAUAUCGGGAGGAACACCAGUGGCGAAGGCGGGGAGCUGGGCAGAUAUUGACGCUGAGGUGCGAAAGCGUGGGGAGCAAACAGG
rnacentral:rRNA from 1 species